CUGAAACCCUCAGAAAGAAAAUGUCUGGUCUCCUAUAUAAUUUACAAUAUUUAAAGUAUUGUUUAAUGAUUAAUAUGAUAUGAAAUUUACUGUUGGAUAAAUGAGUUUUGAAGAUUAGAACUUGGAGGAGAAAUGCCCCAUUUUAUGGAUCUUGUUAGUAAGCAGUUCUGGAAAUGUUUAUGUACUCUUUGAAGAGUCCACUUAGAAGAGCAACAGCUUUUCCUUUUGGCUGCAGUUGCUGAGAGUCUCUCCAGAUGCAAGAAUGUCAUUAUUUCAGGUCAAACAGAAACAGUGUUACUUCCAGCAUUUACCGUGUCCGGGAAACCUGCUGAUGGCUGGUUUGGAGUGAUUCUGUGGUCAUACAGGAAGCGCUUCAGUGAUGCAGUGGUGUCUGUUAAGAUAGACUUUCAGUCACUUUAGAAGAAUUGACUUCAGAAUUUUUCUUGGUUAUAGUGGGAGAGAAUGUGUCCCUUACUACAACAAACAGGUGAAAUAUUUUUUUUUUCUUUUUUUCAUUUAAAAGUAAAGUAAGUGUGUGCUUCUACGAGAAGUAAGUGUGCUUCUACAAGAUAUAUUCUGAAGUUCAAGCUAUUAUUGUGUGACUUAACUAUCUGUGUAAACCUUAUUUUCUUAUAUCCAUGUAAGAUGUCCUCUGUAUUUUACAUAUAUUUUAUCGUUAUUUGAUUACAGUGAAGAGAUGUCAAAAGGUAAUUCAUUCACUCAAAUGUGGUACCAGAUAGUUGUUAUAUAAAGUGUAUCCAUUGUUUUUCAAGUGUCUUUGUCUUACUUGUUCAUAUGGUUGGUCUUUAUUAUCUUCCAAUUCAAUGAGUACUGUGAAUUAAUAUAAACUUAAUAUAGGGGAAAAAAAAAUAAAUACCUAAGGGUUUUUCACCCUGCUACCACAUAGAGCACACACAGUUUGAAGGGGCAGCAUUUCAAUCUUGGCCGAGUAACCUUUCCUAGCUCUUCACUCAAGUGGUUCUUCCUCUUCCUUCUAUCAUAUUAGGCAGAAACCAAGCACUGGGAACUGAUUUGUGUGGGUUCUAGUAGAUUCUUCCCUUGAUUACCUGAUCUACUGGCAACUUCUCUUGCUUACUCGAGAGAGUUUCCUGAGCAUCCAAGGUAGAUAUCAGAUAGCUGGAUCUAAAUCUCUUCCAUGGAAGAACUCUGACAUUAAGAAAAUUAAAAUGUUUUAGUCAUACAACAUUAAAACUGUUGUUUGACAUUUAAAGAGUUGUUUGGUGGAGAUUUUCUACUGGAUUGAGGUUGCCUUGUGAAUAGUAUUUGAAAGGAAAAUCUGCGAGAGUAUUCUAGAAGUUUCUUUCAGGAAGUUAAAAACAAGAAAAUUAAGUAUGUCUGAUAAUUAUUUACACUGAAUGCUUUGAUUGUAAUUCUUGAUGCUUCCCAGAACUUCCAAAGCACAAAAAUUGAAUGGAAAAAGCUUGGUGAUUUGAGGUUUCAGGGUAGUAGUAGCGUUGUUGGUACUGUGAUUAGAAGUAAUGGGAAGCUUGGUAGUUUCAGCAAUUCUAUUCCACACUGCAAUUGAAGAGACAAACCUGAAAAAGUGGGAUUUCUCUCGCUCUUUCUUUUUAUAGAAUGAUAUUGAUAAUAAAAUUUAAAAAUCUUAUUUUAAAAUAACUCUUCAGAUGGGAGGGGGACAGAAAAGGCAACAUAAUUUUUAUAUGAUAGAGAAGGAAAGAGAACACAGGUGAUUUCAAGGUAUUUUCCUUUUAUGUUCUAAGUCCUUACAGCUCACAUUAUUUUCUCUAUUCUUUGUCACAGAAUGGCGAUUACUGUUCCCUUUGUGAAGUAUGUAAAUACUGUAUAUUCUUCGACUUUGUAGCUUCUCUAAUUUGUGUUCUAUUUUAGUUGUAUUUCUGACAUUUUCCUCUUUCCAAUUUAUGUAUCACUUAUUUGGCAUAUAACCAUGGGAAUGCUUUUCUGCUAAAGAUUUUUUCCUUCAAAUUUCUUCUACUCAUACUGUUGUUGAAAUAAGGUGUUUGGAGAUUAAUUUGUACUGGUGCACUUCUUUCGGAAAGGUAAAGAUUCAUGAAGACACAGGGUUUUGUGAUGCUCUACUAAGAACUGGAUGCCUGUCUAGAAAAGGAUCAGCAGAGCUGCAGGAAACUAUUCAGGGCAUGUAAGGGGAUGUCACUUUGCCAUGAGGAAUGAGCCCUAGUUUAGGGUGCUCACAGUCUCUCUUGCAAUCAGGGCAACAGAAGCAGUGGUGGCACGGGGUUGUAUGACAAAGGCAGACAGAUUGGGAAAUAGGGUUGUUUUGUUUUUGUUUUUGUUUUUGUUUUCUUUAGCCUGAGAUGGAAUAUCUGGGUGUAGGCAAGCACUGUGUAAAUUUCCCAGUAUUGCCAGUUACCAGAAGUUUUUUUGCAUGCCGAGUGUAUCAAUAUAGUACCAUCUGUCUACAUUAAUACCAUACCAGUGGUGGUAGAGAGUAACCAAGUCCUGCUUAUUAUAUGUCCAGCUAAUUAUUCUUCCUUGAAUAAAAGCAGUCUCCCCCUGUUUUUGUGGUGCAAAGUUGGGCAGUUUCCUACAGCUACCCAUGCAGUUGUGCAGUAGUAACAACCAGGAGAAAAUACCAAAAGAGAACCUUUGUAGAAGACAGAUUGGAAAAUGGUUUCAGUUAAUGUCAGAAAAGCAAUGGAACUAAAACCAGCUUGACUAAUAAAUUAGUCUGUUUCAAUAGUUUAUUUAUAAAAGUCUUUAAUUUUCACAUAGCAAUAUGUUUUUUUGUUUAAUAACUGUAUUCUUAGUAUGAACAAUUUAAACUCAUAAUAAAUAUUUCAGAAUGCAUUAAUCAAAAUAUUGUUUAGACUCCAACUUCUAAAAUUUGCAAUAUUGUGAUAUUUGAGAAUUUCACAUCAUGACAAAAUUUUCAUGAAGCAGAAAAAAUUAUUUUUUAACCAAAUCUCCAUGUAAGUACUUCUGCUAAUGAAAGAACUUAUAAUGCAAGUCCAGCUAGCCAAGCCAGGUACCAGGGAAUCAGGGUAACAACCAUUUUCUUACGUCCUUGUUCCCCCUGGGCCCAAUCUCUGUGUUAUUCAUUGAGAGUGUGUGGUUCUUAAACUACAUUCAACAAGCUCUUUGUGUGUUUUUUUUUGUGUACAGCUGUUUAUAUUUUCAGAUGCCUGUAUUUUCACAUGAAAAAUACAGACGUGGAAAGCAUUUUAUUACCUAAGCGCUAAGCCGUUCUUUUUUUUUCUGUUGAAUUCAUGCUUACAUAGUCCAGUAGAUAGAGCUUACCCAGUUGAGAUACGUGGUAAUGGAUGCUGAUAAGUUCCUGUGGAACCAAAGAUAGCUG